rnacentral:rRNA from 1 species
AUGAACGCUAGCGACAGGCUUAACACAUGCAAGUCGAGGGGCAGCGGGGGUAGCGAUACCCGCCGGCGACCGGCGCACGGGUGAGUAACGCGUAUGCAACUUGCCUAUCAGAGGGGGAUAACCCGGCGAAAGUCGGACUAAUACCGCAUGAAGCAGGGGCCCCGCAUGGGGGUAUUUGCUAAAGAUUCAUCGCUGAUAGAUAGGCAUGCGUUCCAUUAGGCAGUUGGCGGGGUAACGGCCCACCAAACCGACGAUGGAUAGGGGUUCUGAGAGGAAGGUCCCCCACAUUGGUACUGAGACACGGACCAAACUCCUACGGGAGGCAGCAGUGAGGAAUAUUGGUCAAUGGGCGUAAGCCUGAACCAGCCAAGUCGCGUGAGGGAUGAAGGUUCUAUGGAUCGUAAACCUCUUUUAUAAGGGAAUAAAGUGCGGGACGUGUCCCGUUUUGUAUGUACCUUAUGAAUAAGGAUCGGCUAACUCCGUGCCAGCAGCCGCGGUAAUACGGAGGAUCCGAGCGUUAUCCGGAUUUAUUGGGUUUAAAGGGUGCGUAGGCGGCCUUUUAAGUCAGCGGUGAAAGUCUGUGGCUCAACCAUAGAAUUGCCGUUGAAACUGGGGGGCUUGAGUAUGUUUGAGGCAGGCGGAAUGCGUGGUGUAGCGGUGAAAUGCAUAGAUAUCACGCAGAACCCCGAUUGCGAAGGCAGCCUGCCAAGCCAUGACUGACGCUGAUGCACGAAAGCGUGGGGAUCAAACAGGAUUAGAUACCCUGGUAGUCCACGCAGUAAACGAUGAUCACUAGCUGUUUGCGAUACAUUGUAAGCGGCACAGCGAAAGCGUUAAGUGAUCCACCUGGGGAGUACGCCGGCAACGGUGAAACUCAAAGGAAUUGACGGGGGCCCGCACAAGCAGUGGAGUAUGUGGUUUAAUUCGAAGCAACGCGAAGAACCUUACCAAAUCUUGACAUCCUCUGACCCCUCUAGAGAUAGAGUUUUCCCCUUCGGGGGACAGAGUGACAGGUGGUGCAUGGUUGUCGUCAGCUCGUGCCGUGAGGUGUCGGCUUAAGUGCCAUAACGAGCGCAACCCUUGCCACUAGUUACUAACAGGUAAAGCUGAGGACUCUGGUGGGACUGCCAGCGUAAGCUGCGAGGAAGGCGGGGAUGACGUCAAAUCAGCACGGCCCUUACAUCCGGGGCGACACACGUGUUACAAUGGCGUGGACAAAGGGAAGCCACCUGGCGACAGGGAGCGAAUCCCCAAACCACGUCUCAGUUCGGAUCGGAGUCUGCAACCCGACUCCGUGAAGCUGGAUUCGCUAGUAAUCGCGCAUCAGCCAUGGCGCGGUGAAUACGUUCCCGGGCCUUGUACACACCGCCCGUCAAGCCAUGGGAGCCGGGGGUACCUGAAGUCCGUAACUGCGAGGAUCGGCCUAGGGUAAAACUGGUGACUGGGGCU